UACGUAGGGGGCAAGCGUUGUCCGGAAUCAUUGGGCGUAAAGAGCGUGUAGGCGGCUCGGUAAGUCGGGUGUGAAACCUCCAGGCUCAACCUGGAGACGCCACCUGAUACUGCUGUGGCUAGAGUCCGGUAGGGGAGCGUGGAAUUCCUGGUGUAGCGGUGAAAUGCGCAGAUAUCAGGAGGAACACCAGCGGCGAAGGCGGCGCUCUGGGCCGGAACUGACGCUGAGGAGCGAAAGCGUGGGUAGCAAACAGG
rnacentral:rRNA from 1 species